AACAAUAUGCCAAUUCUCGGCUGCGGCUACUUCGGGUGCAUUGUGUAGUAUAAGGUUUUAGCUCUGCUACACUGGUAGCCAAGUAACGACAUUUCGUUGUCAAUAUUCACCUUGUGUAUUUUUUUGUACAAUGACAAUAAAGGAAGUCUAAGUCUAAGUCUAAGUCAAUUCUACAGCUUCAACAAUUAAUGAUGCUCUCGCCUGAUCAGCUCUUGUGGUUUCUCUUUGACCAGAUGAAUCAUCUCAGAGAAAUAUCAUCAUCAUUGCUGUCAUUUCUGUUGUGAUUUCCAUCAUAAUUGCUGCUUUAGCAUUUGCUGCUUUCAAGAAGAAAAAUGAUAGACCAGUCAUCUCUGAGUCUGAAAUCAUACCAUUGAGAAACUGACUUCUAAAUCCAGAUCAAGAAAUCUAACAUCCUGCUCUGCCUUCACAU